AAGGAAUAUUGGACAAUGGGCGAGAGCCUGAUCCAGCCAUGCCGCGUGCAGGAAGACGGACCUAUGGUUUGUAAACUGCUUUUGAACGAGAGAAAACCCGAGUACGUGUACUCGGCUGAUAGUAUCGUUAGAAUAAGCAUCGGCUAACUUCGUGCCAGCAGCCGCGGUAAGACGAAGGAUGCAAGCGUUAUCCGGAUUCAUUGGGUUUAAAGGGAGCGUAGGCGGACUUGUAAGUCAGUGGUGAAAUCUGUGGGCUUAACCCACAAACUGCCAUUGAUACUGCAGGUCUAGAGUACAGUUGCCGUUGGCGGAAUAUGACAUGUAGUGGUGAAAUACUUAGAUAUGUCAUAGAACACCGAUUGCGAAGGCAGCUAACGAAGCUGUAACUGACGCUGAGGCUCGAAAGUGCGGGGAUCAAAC
rnacentral:rRNA from 1 species